rnacentral:rRNA from 1 species
GACGAACGCUGGCGGCGUGCCUAAUACAUGCAAGUUGAGCGCUGAAGGUUGGUACUUGUACCAACUGGAUGAGCAGCGAACGGGUGAGUAACGCGUGGGGAAUCUGCCUUUGAGCGGGGGACAACAUUUGGAAACGAAUGCUAAUACCGCAUAAAAACUUUAAACACAAGUUUUAAGUUUGAAAGAUGCAAUUGCAUCACUCAAAGAUGAUCCCGCGUUGUAUUAGCUAGUUGGUGAGGUAAAGGCUCACCAAGGCGAUGAUACAUAGCCGACCUGAGAGGGUGAUCGGCCAAAUUGGGACUGAGACACGGCCCAAACUACUACGGGAGGCAGCAGUAGGGAAUCUUCGGCAAUGGACGAAAGUCUGACCGAGCAACGCCGCGUGAGUGAAGAAGGUUUUCGGAUCGUAAAACUCUGUUGGUAGAGAAGAAAGUUGGUGAGAGUGGAAAGCUCAUCAAGUGACGGUAACUACCCAGAAAGGGACGGCUAACUACGUG